rnacentral:rRNA from 1 species
GAAGGUGGCCUGUGAGGGUUGCUGGAGGUAUCAGAAGUGCGAAUGCUGACAUAAGUAACGAUAAAGCGGGUGAAAAGCCCGCUCGCCGGAAGACCAAGGGUUCCUGUCCAACGUUAAUCGGGGCAGGGUGAGUCGACCCCUAAGGCGAGGCCGAAAGGCGUAGUCGAUGGGAAACAGGUUAAUAUUCCUGUACUUGGUGUUACUGCGAAGGGGGGACGGAGAAGGCUAUGUUGGCCGGGCGACGGUUGUCCCGGUUUAAGCGUGUAGGCUGGUUUUCCAGGCAAAUCCGGAAAAUCAAGGCUGAGGCGUGAUGACGAGGCACUACGGUGCUGAAGCAACAAAUGCCCUGCUUCCAGGAAAAGCCUCUAAGCAUCAGGUAACAUCAAAUCGUACCCCAAACCGACACAGGUGGUCAGGUAGAGAAUACCAAGGCGCUUGAGAGAACUCGGGUGAAGGAACUAGGCAAAAUGGUGCCGUAACUUCGGGAGAAGGCACGCUGACACGUAGGUGAAGUGAUUUACUCAUGGAGCUGAAGUCAGUCGAAGAUACCAGCUGGCUGCAACUGUUUAUUAAAAACACAGCACUGUGCAAACACGAAAGUGGACGUAUACGGUGUGACGCCUGCCCGGUGCCGGAAGGUUAAUUGAUGGGGUCAGCGCAAGCGAAGCUCCUGAUCGAAGCCCCGGUAAACGGCGGCCGUAACUAUAACGGUCCUAAGGUAGCGAAAUUCCUUGUCGGGUAAGUUCCGACCUGCACGAAUGGCGUAAUGAUGGCCAGGCUGUCUCCACCCGAGACUCAGUGAAAUUGAACUCGCUGUGAAGAUGCAGUGUACCCGCGGCAAGACGGAAAGACCCCGUGAACCUUUACUAUAGCUUGACACUGAACAUUGAGCCUUGAUGUGUAGGAUAGGUGGGAGGCUUUGAAGUGUGGACGCCAGUCUGCAUGGAGCCGACCUUGAAAUACCACCCUUUAAUGUUUGAUGUUCUAACGUGGACCCGUGAUCCGGGUUGCGGACAGUGUCUGGUGGGUAGUUUGACUGGGGCGGUCUCCUCCUAAAGAGUAACGGAGGAGCACGAAGGUUGGCUAAUCCUGGUCGGACAUCAGGAGGUUAGUGCAAUGGCAUAAGCCAGCUUGACUGCGAGCGUGACGGCGCGAGCAGGUGCGAAAGCAGGUCAUAGUGAUCCGGUGGUUCUGAAUGGAAGGGCCAUCGCUCAACGGAUAAAAGGUACUCCGGGGAUAACAGGCUGAUACCGCCCAAGAGUUCAUAUCGACGGCGGUGUUUGGCACCUCGAUGUCGGCUCAUCACAUCCUGGGGCUGAAGUAGGUCCCAAGGGUAUGGCUGUUCGCCAUUUAAAGUGGUACGCGAGCUGGGUUUAGAACGUCGUGAGACAGUUCGGUCCCUAUCUGCCGUGGGCGCUGGAGAACUGAGGGGGGCUGCUCCUAGUACGAGAGGACCGGAGUGGACGCAUCACUGGUGUUCGGGUUGUCAUGCCAAUGGCACU